rnacentral:lncRNA from 1 species
GAAGAGUCAGCAUCCAAGGCCUUUAUAUGCAGGGAUCACCAGGCACGGCGUCUCCAGUAUCCACAGGCUGCUGCAUUUCUUGUCUAGCAUCAGCGUGAGCAGCGGCUCCGUCUUAAGAGGACAGAGAGAGAGAGACAUAGACAUGGCUUUGAAGUCUCUUGCUGUUCUUCUGGUUAUCCUCCUCUCUGUGCCGCCCCUCGACUCGACCCCCGCACCCGCUGCGCUGGAUGAGAAGAAGUUCUUCUUCUUCUAUUUCUUCCCCCCAGGUGAGCCUUGUGCAGCUAACAACUAAUCAACUCUUCCGUGCGCAAUUUCUUAUCCCGCUCGCCUCUUUCCAGUGCUCCGCUACGUGGCCGAAUUCCAGGGCAACGUAUCAACUGGGCGAUGCUGUUCUCGUUGCUGCGCGAUCAGCGCCAAUAGUACAUGCCUUGGUUGCUGUCCAUUUUCGAGGAUAAUACUGGCCGGCCCCCCUCUCUGCUGCUCCCAAUGCCUCUUUGGGUACUUUGGUUACUGUCGCAGCUGCUUCGGCUAGUUGGCCGGAGGCAAGCCAUGAACACGGCUCAUGCCUUACACCCAACAUGCCUGAUAGCGAGAAAGUGCAAGAUGUGGCGUAGCCUGUCUGUGAAAUAAGAGGAGACGUCCUCACUACGAAGGACGGCCGCCGUGUGUAACCUGUGGUUUUUAGACUGCUGUUCUUUCUUUCUUGGUCGUCUGUGGAAACAAGUCGAGACUACCACGGUGCAUGUUCUGUGAAGAUUCUGAAAGUUGGUCUUCGAGUCUGUCCCAUAUUUCGCGCCUUUCUCGAUAUUGCAGUGUUUUAUGUGUACUCACUGAGCACAUAGAUACUUUUACCUAUCUGUAUGAGGUCUGGAACUCUAUAUUUCCGUGGAGAUGAACAACGUACUGCUCACCAUACUGGACCAGUGGG